AUGAAUUCCUUAAAUACCCAAAGACCCACAAGUAUAUACAGCGAAUAUCAGCACGAGCCUGAUCCCGAGCCAUCCUCAUGGCUAACUCUACUGCUUUGAGUUGUUCCUUUGCAUGUGACAUCUCAUCAUCUUCUGCUUAUCUUCUCUAAUCAUUCUUUCUAGGCUCAUCUCAAGUGGUGAAGGACCCUCAUUCUCCUUAGACAAAGGUAUAAAAGUUUUCUCCAUUCUCUCGUUCAGUGCAGUUAUCUCAGGUAAUUUGUUUUCUCUAAACAAUGAGAGAAAUCAUUAUAUGUCAAACACAAAUAAAAAAAGAUGGAUCAUUGACUUCAAGAAUAAGUUUUUUAAACUUAGUCCACAUCUUAGUGAGUCGCUAAUUCAAACUAUUGAAUUUGUCCAAUGGCUAAGAUAUAUUAGAGUAAGUGAAUCCUGAAGUAAAAUAAAAUUGUAGAAUGCAAGAAACAUGAAUUAAUAAUAAAUAAGAAAUAAAAACAAACAAAAGCAAUAAAAGUAAAUAAGAAAUAAUAAUAA